UGAAUUUACAAUGCCUUUAAGUAAGUGAGGCAAAGAAGCAAAAGUGAAAAAAUAACAAUUAACUGAGUACAAUCUGCUGUAACGAGCUAGGAAAUUAGCUGCUUGAUUUCCUUCUCGAUAGACAUGGUUGAAAGAGACAUUGGUUCCCGAGACUAGAUUCUUGAUCUGUUUGGCCAUGCGAGGCUUACCUGCUGAAUCAGAGGAGGUGAUGGAGUCAAUUGUAGAUUUGGAGUCACUCUCGAUGUUGAGGGGAAAGGCGUUUAAUUGUUGGCUCCAACGGAGACUGAAAAAUAAGGAUUAGAGUUCAGCAUCUUUAGAGUCACUUGCAUGAAUUGGGAAGCAAUAUGCAGCAAUGAGGCUACCCGAAUGAUCCCUGAUUAUGGCACCUCCCGCAGAAGAAGAAGGAGUGUAGGAAGCAUCUACGUUGAGUUUAUAAUAGCCAAGUUGUGGCCUGACCCAAGAUACCAACAUAAUUUUCAAUUUUUUACCAAAGAAUUCAGGCAGGUAGUCUUGAAAUAAAGGGAUGGAUUUUGCAAAGUUUGAUUCUGAGUGGGCAGCCCCCCAUUUGUAGAUCAGUGUACGAAUCUGCUCCAGCAAGUUGGGAACAUGAAAACCUCCUUCGCCCCAGGUGAGACAGCAAUAUGCUGACCAAAUUGAGAAGAGAAUUAGUUGGGAAAUGUAUCGCA
rnacentral:lncRNA from 1 species